UGUACAAUGCUGAGAUUGUCCCGAGUAUGUGAAAAUAACCGUCAGGCACCGAAGAUCUCUGACAGUCAGUACACAACACCAAAACUGGUAGAGGGAGAACGCAUAUGAAAGUAUUUGAGGUACGAUCUCUUGAAGCAUCCUUUAUCACAAAACCAGCUGCAGAGAAGAAGCGUGAGAUGUACAAGGCUUUCUGAGAUUCCCUUGCAGCGACACCAAUCGUGUGAUUACAAAGCAAAGGCUGUAAUUAAAAAAAACCUAGCCAACAAAAAACAACACUGAGUCGAAUCUAUAAAGUGGAUUACCGUAGAAUAUGGAGAAAAUGACCUUCCAAAGUUAAAGGAGAAGCUGAAAGAGCCAAUAAUUGAAAUGUCAUAGGAGGAACUGAGCUGGUAAGAAAAAGCAAAUAUUUAAAGAUGAGACAUAUUUAACAAGUCACUGGAUUACUUUCUCUACCGAGUUCAUCAGAAGCAAAUAUAUUUCUAUUUGAUGUCAGCGACAUCAGGUAGAAUCUGACUAACCUUACGGGUGUACAACAGCCUCGGAGGCCUGUUUAGCUGAGAAUAGUUUUGAUGCAGAAGUUCCAUCAGUGAAUGUACAUUUUUCAGUGAGGUAGAUCCACCUUGGUGCUGAAGACAAGCAACUGGAUUUUAUGAAAGAAAGUUGUAAUUGCUGUACAAAUGACUGUUUGUUCUUCCAUCUUUUACUGCUUGCUCUGAAGGAGCUGCUCUUCUAGCAGAACCCAGCUCUUUUAUUGCAAGCUAAGUAUGAGACACUCCUGUCACUUGACAUACACAUGAUGUAUGUCCCUUCAGGGAGCUGUUUCCGAGUUUUGCUCUUCUCUUUCACUGGUUUAUCACCAUCUCUCCUCCAUGGAAAUAUCGUCAUGAUUAAGCCAACAAUCAAAAAUUAAAAUUAGACUGAGAUUUCAAGGUGAUUCCUUCUCUGUUUUCUUCACCUCCAGCCCAAUUGCACAGGCUUAGAAAAGGCGUAUACUUUCACGUUUUCAGUCUACUGAUUCAAACUGCAAGAAGCCUUAGAUUGUGAAUAGCUUCCUAUUCAAAGGGUUGGGUCUUAGAAGGCCUUAAUUUCAUUUUUUUAAAAAGCUAGGAAUAGGUCUUCAGACAGAGUCUAUCUACACAAUGCUUUGAAAUGAUUAAGAAUUCCUGUUCCUCCUUAUUCUUCCUAAUGACACAGUGGGAACAAAGGUGUUCAAUGGAAAGAUGCCAGUACGCAGUGAGGAUAGAUGGACGGCUCCUGCUCCGUGCUUGGUACCUCCCUGCCCGUUCUCAUGAGGCAGCCGGGACCUCAGGGAGACAAGUCAGUGAAAUGAGGGCUGCACUCCUCAUCACAGACCAAACCACUGUGCAGGCGGUAUUCCCGUAGGAUUGCUGCCCGCUGGCAGGCGUCACUGCCUGCACUGGCUCUCCCGCCCCAUGGCCAUGGACAGCCCCAAUUGCUACUAUCUUCACUAGUAUCUGAAAGGUUCACCUUCAGCGCCUCUUUCAUUGGACUAGCUUGUGGAAUUAACGUAUGCGUUCAAUACUGCAAAAUCUUAGCCAUAAAUGUCAGUUCAGUCUGAUUUUUAUCUUUAUGUGCACUACUUUCAAGAAGAAACAGAAACAUAAUGAUCGGGUUAUUUAAGAUGGCAGAGUACACACACUCCUAAUAAUACUAAUAACAAUGUCUGUUCCAUUAUAUUAAAUGAAAAAACAUAUUAGUAUAUGUUUACAGUAGCCCAUGAUUUAAUUUACACACAAAUGAAUCGGUUAAAUUUACAAUUUAAACAGUAUAUCAUCUGUAUGUACAUCCUAGCCUGUAUUUGGACAGUUCCCACAUUAUUAUUGUUACACUGAUAAAAUUAAUGUAUUAAAGGAAUAUGUAAAGCCCAGCCUAAGCGUCUUCAUUGAGCACUCAACACAUGGCAUUUUAGUGACUGAAAGGGGGAAAAAAAUUAAACAAUUUGCAUACUUCAGUACUGUAGCAAAUGACUGCAUUGACAAGGUCACCAUGGUACAUUGACAUUGCCCACACCAGAUCCAACUUCUAAAAAUCCUCCAGUAUUUGCACGGUGAUGACUGUAAAACCUCAUUCAGUGUCAGACUCUUAAGGUGUUUUCCCUCUUGCCUGUUUAAUAAGCAAUUUAUUUUUUUAAUUAAGAAUUCAGUAUGCUUUUAAUUUACAGAGGGAAAAAAGCUUGAGUGCUCUGGGUUUUUUGUGGUAACAUGGCUAGCUGUAUUAAAUGCCAUUUCUUCUACUAUGCACAUAACUGUAUCUCCAAUGGUAGCUCUCAAUGAAUCAGAUAACCAGCAAUUUCUUUUGUAAUCAGAACCUAAUUAGGUUGUUGUUUACAGUAUCAGUGAUCAAUAGCUUUUAUUCGGGAUCACACUGUGUCAAAGCUCUAAUAAUUGGUAUUAAAUGUAACAGAGAUUCUGUCAUCAAACCAAAUGUAAAAAAAUCUUCAAAAAGUAUGUACUAUAUACUGGGAGGUUAUUAAAAUUCCCAAUACUGCUUAAAAUGUUUAAUGUGCUGAAUACAAAUGAUAUUUUAAAGAAAGUUUUGUGGAUCAAAGAUGGAAUUAAUAAUUGUGAUGCUUAUGAAUUUGUUUUGAAAAUAUUUUUAAUGGAUAAUGUCAGACUUUUGAAUUAUAAUGCUAUGUUCAUUAGUAUUUCAGUAAGUUAUACUAUCAACUCCUUUUGACAUAAAAGAAUUUUAUUUAUUUUUUUAAAUCAUGAAUCUCGUAAUCUUUUUUCUGUUGUCCCAAGAUUUCAAUAAUUUGAUUAGCUUCUACAGGAAGAGCAACAAGAACCACAUGGGCUUUGCUGGUAAUGAUGUGCCAUAUAUUUCUUCUCCAAAAGCAGCCCUGUUGCCUUUGAAAGUAAUUUGCAGUUUCUUAUCAGCACAGAAUUAAAGAGUAAUAUUGUUUAAUUUGUUAUGUCCAGUGGCACAGAGCAUCGUAGAAUUCUACCACGUACACAGUGCUUUGAAACCCGUAUUAUGCGACCAUAAUCAAGGGUACAUAAAUGAAUUUCAGAAUUUAUGAAAGUGUUUAUUAUUAGCUAAGAAAAAAAGCAAAAGAUGAACUUGUCAAUAGGUUUAAUGAUCUCUUAGUAAGACGUGAAUUUUGCACACUCCCAAGCUUCACUGCAGGUUAUAAAACAGCUAUUCAUACUUUAUAGUUGAAUUGCAAAUAACUGAUCUGGACAUUUCAGAGCAGGACGGGGCAUCAUUGUGUAAGUCUCCAUGCAAAUCUGUAAAUUCAACAUGAUGAACUCCUUGCUUGGUGAAGUUAUCUUCUACUUUCAAUAGAAACAAAAAGUGAUUACUGUUGAUAAUUUAGACAAAACUGCUUGGAACAGUCAACAAGCCAUCACAGUAAGGUAUAAAGACAGCCCUUAGGAGAAAUGCUGCCCAUGUGAUGACAUUUACAGCUUUAAAGAAUUCCUUCUAGAUACCACAGAAAAUCACCGUGAGCCAGCACAGGCUGUCAAUGCCACUGAAUGAAAACCAAAGCGAUCAAAUCAUAUAUACCGGCAAUAUUGCCAUCCAAACCAUUAAAACAAUUUAUGGAACUGGUCUUGCAAACAGUUCAUCAUGUCAGUGAUGCCAAGGUCUGCAGUAGGAACUGCCAGGGUGCGAAAAGCCUGUCAGAGGGGUGAGUGUGCAUGACGCUGCCUUGUAAUUGGAUCAACCAUCCUUUUGUGUUGAUUUUAGCAGUCUUAGAAAUAAAACACAGUUUAAAUGA